rnacentral:rRNA from 1 species
UGGGGAAUAUUGCGCAAUGGGGGGAACCCUGACGCAGCAACGCCGCGUGCAGGAAGAAGGUCUUCGGAUUGUAAACUGUUGUCGCAAGGGAAGAAGACAGUGACGGUACCUUGUGAGAAAGUCACGGCUAACUACGUGCCAGCAGCCGCGGUAAUACGUAGGUGACAAGCGUUGUCCGGAUUUACUGGGUGUAAAGGGCGCGUAGGCGGGAUAGCAAGUCAGUCGUGAAAUGCCGAGGCUUAACCUCGGAGCUGCGAUUGAAACUGUUAUUCUUGAGUAUCGGAGAGGAAAGCGGAAUUCCUA